UGAGCACUGCCUGCAUUAGUGCCCGAGUAAGGUUACCAGCAACAAAACAACCUUAGGAAUAAAUAAAAUACCCAAGCAAGAUACUUGCAUUUACCCCAACUGUUCAUUUCUGAGGUCCUAUCGUAGUGCAUGUGCAUGAGGUGACAGACUUAGAGAGAGGAGCAAAUCAAAAAUGCCAGCCAGAAGUUAUGCACACCUGCUUUCAAACAGUGAAAAGCUCAGGGGCUGUCCUGCCUCAUUCCAGCCUCAUUCCAUACCCACAGCUCUGGCUGACAUAAGAUCCUGUGUUAAGGAUGGAAGGAAGAACUUGGCUGCUGCAGUGCAAAGAUGGUCAACCAGUGCCAAGCAGGAGGGAAAGAAGGUAGCAGGGGAGACAAGGCGUUUCUAAGAUGUGCUGGUUGCAGGGAAAGUUAAACUUCAGUGAAACUGGGAAGGCUCCCAUAACCACAUGACUCGGGGGGCUGCAGAUUCAAGAAGAACACCUGUGAAACACUGUGAUUAAGGUUACCAAGAGCCAAGCAGCAGUUUCCUCCCUUAGAUAAUGAGUGAUAAAGGUGCUCUGAAAAUAUGGAUGAGGCUAUCUUUCCUUUCCUUCCUUUCCCUGCUAGCCCUCUGAUCCCCCAGCCCGGGCUGCUGUUCCCAAACAAGACAGCGUUGGCUGUGGAUUG